UGCGUAGGUGGUGAGGUAAGUCGGAUGUGAAAUCUCCGGGCUCAACCCGGAAAUGGCAUUGGAAACUACCUUGCUGGAGGAUUUGAGGGGGGAUUGGAAUACUUGGUGUAGCAGUGAAAUGCGUAGAUAUCAAGUGGAACACCAGUGGCGAAGGCGAAUCCCUGGAAAAUACCUGACACUGAGGCACGAAAAGCUAGGGGAGCAAACA
rnacentral:rRNA from 1 species